GUACCAGCCGCCUCGGUAAUACGGAGGGUGCAAGCGUUGUCCGGAAUCACUGGGUGUAAAGGGUGUGCAGGCGGGGCAACAAGUCGGAGGUGAAAGCCCAUGGCUCAACCAUGGAAGUGCCUUCGAAACUGUUGCUCUUGAGUCCCGAAGAGGUUGUCGGAAUUCGUGGUGUAGCGGUGAAAUGCGUAGAUAUCACGAGGAACACCAGAGGCGAAAGCGGACAACUGGACGGGUACUGACGCUCAGGCACGAAAGCGUGGGGAACAAACAGGAUUAGAUACCCUGGUAGUCC
rnacentral:rRNA from 1 species